CGUGUAGGCGGGCUAGGUAGUUGAGUGUGAAAGCCCCCGGCUUAACCGGGGAAGUGCGCUCAAAACCACUAGUCUAGAGGUUCAGAGGGGAGCGGGAAUUCCCAGUGUAGGAGUGAAAUCCGUAGAUAUUGGGAGGAACACCGGUGGCGAAGGCGCCGCUCUGGCUGAAAACUGACGCUGAGACGCGAAAGCGUGGGUAGCAAACA
rnacentral:rRNA from 1 species